CCUACGGGGGGCAGCAGUGGGGAAUAUUGCGCAAUGGGCGAAAGCCUGAACCAGCCAAGUAGCGUGAAGGAUGACUGCCCUAUGGUUUGUAAACUUCUUUUAUAAAGGAAUAAAACGAGGCACGUGUGCCUUUUUGCAUGUACUUUAUGAAUAAGGAUCGGCUAACUCCGUGCCAGCAGCCGCGGUAAUACGGAGGAUCCGAGCGUUAUCCGGAUUUAUUGGGGUUAAAGGGAGCGUAGAUGGGUUGUUAAGUCAGUUGUGAAAGUUUGCGGCUCAACCGUAAAAUUGCAAUUGAUACUGGUAGUCUUGAGUACAGGUGAGGUAGGCGGAAUUCGUGGUGUAGCGGUGAAAUGCGUAGAUAUCACGAAGAACACCGAUUGCGAAGGCAGCUUACUAAACUGUGACUGACAUUGAUGCUCGAAAGUGUGGGGAUCAAACAGGAUUAGAUACCCCAGUAGUC
rnacentral:rRNA from 1 species